CCUACGGGUGACUGCAGUGGGGAAUAUUGGGCAAUGGGCGCAAGCCUGACCCAGCGACGCCGCGUGAGGGAAGACGGUCUUCGGAUUGUAAACCUCUUUCAGCAGGGAAGACAAAAGGACGGUACCUGCAGAAGAAGCCACGGCUAACUCCGUGCCAGCAGCCGCGGUAAUACGGAGGGUGCGAGCGUUAAUCGGAAUUACUGGGCGUAAAGCGCUCGUAGGCGGUAUGUCAAGUCAAGCGUGAAAUCCCCGCGCUCAACGUGGGAACUGCCUUUGAAACUGGCAAACUGGAGUGAGUGAGAGGAUAGUGGAAUUCCAGGUGUAGGAGUGAAAUGCGUAGAUAUCUGGAGGAACAUCAGUGGCGAAGGCGACUAUCUGGCACAUAACUGACGCUGAGGAGCGAAAGCGUGGGUAGCAAACAGGAUUAGAUACCCGAGUAGUC
rnacentral:rRNA from 1 species